GGCGAGAGGAAACGCGGCGCCGGGCCGGGCCCGGCCCUGGAGAUGGUCCCCGGCGCCGCGGGCUGGUGUUGUCUCGUGCUCUGGCUCCCCGCGUGCGUCGCGGCCCACGCUACAUGAUCCGCCGCUCUCUGGAACAGCAUGGGCUGCCAUGGGCCAUCAUUUCCAUCCCAGUCAAUGUCACCAGCAUCCCCACCUUUGAGCUGCUGCAACCGCCCUGGACCUUCUGGUAGAAGAGUUUGUCCCACAUUCCAGCCAUAAGUGACUCUGAGCUGGGAAGGGGAAACCCAGGAAUUUUGCUACUUGGAAUUUGGAGAUAGCAUCUGGGGACAAGUGGAGCCAGGUAGAGGAAAAGGGUUUGGGCGUUGCUAGGCUGAAAGGGAAGCCACACCACUGGCCUUCCCUUCCCCAGGGCCCCCAAGGGUGUCUCAUGCUACAAGAAGAGGCAAGAGACAGGCCCCAGGGCUUCUGGCUAGAACCCGAAACAAAAGGAGCUGAAGGCAGGUGGCCUGAGAGCCAUCUGUGACCUGUCACACUCACCUGGCUCCAGCCUCCCCUACCCAGGGUCUCUGCACAGUGACCUUCACAGCAGUUGUUGGAGUGGUUUAAAGAGCUGGUGUUUGGGGACUCAAUAAACCCUCACUGACUUUUU
rnacentral:lncRNA from 10 species